UUCGUCUUCUAUGAGAUUGAGAGGGAAUAUUCUAUUGUCGACUGUCACAAUUGGUUUGGUAGCUGGGUAUGGAUUUGUUUUAAAAUAAAUCAGCGGGACUUCAUUUGAAUAUUCCAAAGUUAUACGUGACUGCUGGCAGUACCCAGGUGUUACUACGAUUUUUGUCCAAGACCACAGGUAAGAAUACCUUACCAUAUGAUGAGAAAUUCAACAAAUUUAACACACAUGUGCUGCAAGUCCGUCUACGGAGAAGUCAAAUCACCUACAACUCCUCAAAAAGUG